UGAAGUAAAAGUCGUAACAAGGUUUCCGUAGGUGAACCUGCGGAAGGAUCAUUAUUGAAUGAAACACUUCUGGCUUUAUGCUGUUGUGCUGGCCCUUUGGGCAAUGUGCACACGGCUCUGGUCACUUGUUUCUUCUGUUCCACCUGUGCACUGCCUGUAGACACGCUGUGUCUAUGAUAUUUGUUAACACACAACAAUGUUAGUUGGCAUGUUAUAUAUAAUAAUAAAAUAUACAACUUUCAACAACGGAUCUCUUGGCUCUC
rnacentral:misc_RNA from 1 species